UACGGAGGGGACUAGCGUUGUUCGGAAUUACUGGGCGUAAAGCGCACGUAGGCGGCUUUGUAAGUUAGAGGUGAAAGCCCGGGGCUCAACUCCGGAAUUGCCUUUAAGACUGCAUCGCUAGAAUUGUGGAGAGGUAAGUGGAAUUCCGAGUGUAGAGGUGAAAUUCGUAGAUAUUCGGAAGAACACCAGUGGCGAAGGCGGCUGACUGGUCCGGUUCUGACGCUGAGGCGCGAAAGCGUGGGGAGCAAACAGG
rnacentral:rRNA from 1 species